rnacentral:tRNA from 1 species
AAGACGCUAGUAAAAUAGAAAUUACACUGCUUUGUCAGGGCAGAGUAGUGGGUUAAAACCCCGCGCGUCUUG